AUUGUAUCAGCAGUAAGUGUGUCAUCCACACGAAUAUCCGUGGAGUCUCACCAUGAAUAACGUGAUUAAGGAGCAUAAUGUGUGGACGCCCAGCCCAUCGGGAGCUUCAUCAGCCUGACUCUCAGCGUGCCAACUGUGUUUGACCACAUUUGCGGCAACAGGAGAAGCCAUGCUGGUUUUUUCAUAUACUAAGAAUGACAGAAACAUUUCAAUCAGAGGAGGGGCCGAUAUGGCUGAAUAGGAACAGCUCCAGUCUGCAGCUCUCAGCGAGACCAAUGAAGAAGGCAGGUCUGCUGCAGUUUGCUGGAGGUCCACUCCAGACACUGUUCACCUGGGUAUCGCCUGGCUUCAGAACAGCAAAGAUUGUGCCUGCUUCUUCCUCUGGAAGCUUCAUCCCAGAGUGCCACCAGCCUGUUGCCAGCUGGAGCUCUCCUAUAUGAGGUGUCUGUCAACUCCUGUUGGGAGACCUUCAAUAAAAUUCAACAUCCCUUCGUGCUAAAAACCCUC
rnacentral:lncRNA from 13 species